rnacentral:lncRNA from 1 species
AUUCGCCAGACUUAAACGAACAUAAAUUAUUUAUACAAUAAAACUCAACACAUGUAUCAGAAAUGAGCUCUCCUUGUGAGGGUAGCAUACUUUUAUUUACGAAUGUAAAUCAAAUUUUAAAUCAAAACAGUUCGUUUCAAAAACAUCCAAGCACACAACGGCUUAUUCUCAUUAUUGAGACACUACUAAAAAACAGUCAUACUGGCUCGAUCACAGUCAGCCAUCCGUAAUAUAUACAAAAUAUACA